GGUCCCGGGCCGCCACGCCCCUGGGCUGGGCUCUGGCCCUCCUCCCCCCUCGCAAAGCUGCGCUGGCCGCCCGCGGAGGGGAGGCUGCAGAGCGAGGGCAGGAGGUGGGUGCGGCGCGGCGCGAGCGGAGACUCGGGGCGCAGAGACAGCCGAAAUAAAGAGCCCAUCCCUUGAACUCAGUGCGUCACACAUGAUCUCAUUCAACGCUCUUACCCUGUAGAGGCGGCACCGUAUCUAUUUACAGGACUACUUUC
rnacentral:lncRNA from 1 species